rnacentral:tRNA from 1 species
CCCUGGUUAGCUCAGUUGGUAGAGCCCUCCACCUGCAAUGGAGAGGUCCCGGGUUCGAUACCCGGACCCGGCGGA